UGGGGAAUUUUUCCGCAAUGGGCGAAAGCCUGACGGAGCAAUGCCGCGUGGAGGUGGAAGGCCUACGGGUCGUCAACUUCUUUUCUCGGAGAAGAAACAAUGACGGUAUCUGAGGAAUAAGCAUCGGCUAACUCUGUGCCAGCAG
rnacentral:rRNA from 1 species